GGAAGGGUAGCUCAGUGGCAGAGCACCGUCGUGACCCUCGGUCCGACGGCGGCUGCAAGGCCCCGCGUGGUUCGAUUCCCGCCCCUUCCG
rnacentral:tRNA from 1 species